rnacentral:rRNA from 1 species
GACGAACGCUGGCGGCGUGCUUAACACAUGCAAGUCGAACGGAAAGGCCCUGCUUUUGUGGGGUGCUCGAGUGGCGAACGGGUGAGUAACACGUGAGUAACCUGCCCUUGACUUUGGGAUAACUUCAGGAAACUGGGGCUAAUACCGGAUAGGAGCUCCUGCUGCAUGGUGGGGGUUGGAAAGUUUCGGCGGUUGGGGAUGGACUCGCGGCUUAUCAGCUUGUUGGUGGGGUAGUGGCUUACCAAGGCUUUGACGGGUAGCCGGCCUGGGAGGGUGACCGGCCACAUUGGGACUGAGAUAGGGGCCAGACUCCUACGGGAGGCAGCAGUGGGGAAUAUUGCACAAUGGGCGGAAGCCUGAUGCAGCAACGCCGCGUGCGGGAUGACGGCCUUCGGGUUGUAAACCGCUUUCGCCUGUGACGAAGCGUGAGUGACGGUAAUGGGUAAAGAAGCACCGGCUAACUACGUG